rnacentral:lncRNA from 1 species
UUUUUUGGAUAUAUCAAUUAGACAUCCAAAGUUCAAUAUUAAUAUUAGUGCAAUCUUUUGACAUAGAUUUUUUGCCUUCAAUCAGGUUUCUAUCUCUAUUCUGUAACCCUGAUCCUAUGGCCUCAAACACUAGUGACCACCUUAGUGCCAAACCUGAAAAAUUUGAUGGCCAUAACUUUAGGAGGUGGCAGAACCAAAUGCGGUUCUGGCUCACCACAUUAGGGUUAAUCUCAGCCAUAGGUGAAAGUACUACCAAANNNNNNNNNNNNNNNNNNNNAAUUCGGAAAGGUCAAACGAAAAAUUCAAAAAUUAGUUAAUUCGUUUAAAUUUGCAUUUAGGUUAUUCUAAAUAUUGAAUUUGUGUGAUUUCUAGUGAUUAUAUCCACUAACUAAUAGUGUCUAAGAAAAGCUUGUCAAAAAGGCAUACGUGCCUAAGAAAGGCUGGUACUUAAGUGAGCCUAGUGCUCCACCACCGAUCUGUAGCUGAUCUGGCUAUUAGUUUUUUUUGGAUAUAUCAAUUAGACAUCCAAAGUUCAAUAUAAAUAUUAGUGCAAUCUUUUGACAUAGAUUUUUUGCCUUCAAUCAGGUUUCUGUCUCUAUUCUGUAACCCUGAUCCUAUGGCCUCAAACACUAGUGACCACCUUAGUGCCAAACCUGAAAAAUUUGAUGGCCAUAACUUUAGGAGGUGGCAGAACCAAAUGCGG